CAACUAACCUGGCAAGGAAGAUACCAUGAUCCAGAAGAUGGUCUUCCCAGAGUGAGGUUAUUCUUUACACUCUGGAUAUGCUCUACUCCAUAUCUUAUCCUGUCCAGUUCUAAUACUUCUUUGAAUGCUUAGUUGUUUUUGAAGUUUAUAUUGUAGUUGCCUCAG
rnacentral:snRNA from 1 species